GACGGAGGGUGCAAGCGUUGAUCGGAAUCACUGGGCGUAAAGGGUGCGUAGGCGGUCUCGCAAGUCUGGCGUGAAAGCCCAAGGCUCAGCCUUGGAAGUGCGCUCGAAACUGCGAGGCUGGAGUGCCGGAGGGGAGAGUGGAAUUCCCGGUGUAGCGGUGAAAUGCGUAGAUAUCGUAAGGAAGACCAGUGGCGAAGGCGGGUCUCUGGACAGUUCCUGACGCUGAGGCACGAAGGUCAGGGGAGCAAACGGG
rnacentral:rRNA from 1 species